GACGAACGCUGGCGGCGUGCUUAACACAUGCAAGUCGAACGGAAAGGCCCCAGCUUGCUGGGGCCCUCGAGUGGCGAACGGGUGAGUAACACGUGUGUGAUACGCCCUGCACUCUGGGAUAAGCCUGGGAAACUGGGUCUAAUACCGGAUAGGACCGUUCUUUAGUGUGUGCGGUGGAAAGUUUUUCGGUGCAGGUUGAGCCCGCGGCCUAUCAGCUUGUUGGUGGGGUAAUGGCCUACCAAGGCGGCGACGGGUAGCCGGCCUGGGAGGGUGUACGGCCACAUUGGGACUGAGACACGGCCCAGACUCCUACGGGAGGCAGCAGUGGGGAAUAUUGCACAAUGGGCGCAAGCCUGAUGCAGCGACGCCGCGUGGGGGAUGACGGCCUUCGGGUUGUAAACCCCUUUCGGCAGGGACGAAGCUUUUGUGACGGUACCUGCAUAAGAAGCACCGGCUAACUACGUG
rnacentral:rRNA from 1 species